rnacentral:rRNA from 1 species
GUCUACGGUCAUGCCACUUUGAACGUGCUCAAUCUCAUUUGAUCUCGGAAGCUAAGCAGAGUUGGGCCUGGUUAGUACUUGGAUGGGAGAUCACCUUGGAAUACCAGGUGCUGUAGGUG